AUUGAACGCUAGCGGGAUGCUUUACACAUGCAAGUCGAACGAGUGGCGGACGGGUGAGUAAUAUAUCGGAAGUGCCCAGUAGCGGGGGAUAACUACUGGAAACGGUAGCUAAUACCGCAUACUAUCGGAUAACCCAUAUGGGAUUAGCUAGUAGGUGGGGUAAUGGCUCACCUAGGCGACGAUCCCUAGCUGGUCUGAGAGGAUGAUCAGCCACACUGGGACUGGUACACGGCCCAGCCUCCUACGGAGGCAGCAGUGGGGAAUAUUGCACAAGGGGCGAAAGCCUGAGGCAGCCAGGCCGCGUGUAUGAAGAAGGCCCUAGGGUUGUAAAGUACUUUCAAUCGGGAGGCGUUACCGACAGAAGAAGCACCGGCUAACUCCGUGCCAGCCGCCGCGGUAAUAC
rnacentral:rRNA from 1 species